rnacentral:rRNA from 1 species
AUUGAACGCUGGCGGCAUGCCUUACACAUGCAAGUCGAACGGCAGCACGGGGGCAACCCUGGUGGCGAGUGGCGAACGGGUGAGUAAUGCAUCGGAACGUGCCCAGUAGUGGGGGGAUAGCCCGGCGAAAGCCGGAUUAAUACCGCAUACGUACUGAGGUAGAAAGCGGGGGACCGAAAGGCCUCGCGCUAUUGGAGCGGCCGAUGUCGGAUUAGCUUGUUGGUGGGGUAACGGCCUACCAAGGCGACGAUCCGUAACUGGUCUGAGAGGACGACCAGUCACACUGGGACUGAGACACGGCCCAGACUCCUACGGAGGCAGCAGUGGGGAAUUUUGGACAAUGGGCGAAAGCCUGAUCCAGCAAUGCCGCGUGUGUGAAGAAGGCCUUCGGUUGUAACUAGCUUUGUACGGUACGAAACGGCGAGCUCUAAUAC